rnacentral:lncRNA from 1 species
GGGUUGCGACCAUCGAUCUUCCGGUUUGUGCAAUCCUCUAACCUCCAAACCUACCGGGAGGUGGUGGAUUGCGCACUCAUAGUGGAGAGUGGCGCGGCAGACGUUCAGGAGCGACGAGAGGCGAUGGACAAAGGUAAGGCCAAGAGGCCUGCGGCAGAGGGUGCGAGCCAAACGCACUCUAGGAGGCCGCUGAAGCAUCCUAGGAGCCAGCAGUGAUGACGCGGCUCAGCGGCGCAUCGAGGAGGACCUGAUCGUCGCUGGCCCUCCCAGUGUGUGAUCUGCGGUGGCCCUCAUCACCCGCCGCAGUGUCCGUAGUGGGCGGGCAGGUACUAUGUGACGCCCCAGCUUCCUAGGGGGUCACCCAUCCUAGGACUACUCCCAUCCUUGCACGCUUAACUCUCUUAACCUCUUGGGCCUUGCCACCACCCAAAAUGCUUAAGCCGGGAUAAGAGUUUAGCCCUAUUAUAUCUCUUAUAUAGGACUAUCUGGGGUCUCACAAUCUCCCAUUCUUUAAGCCCUGACGUCCUCGUCAGGCUGAGAUACACAAAUACCAGGCGAUGUGAGACUCGUCUCGCUAGCCUAUCACCCAAACCCUGGCUCAGCCGAGACUCAUCUCACACUUCCGGCUAGUAAUUGGCUCUGAUACCAUCUGUGACGCCCCAGCUUCCCAGGGGGUCACCCAUCCUAGGACUACUCCCAUCCUAGCACGUUUAACUCUCUUAACCUCUUGGGCCUUGCCACCACCCAAAAUGCUUAAGCCGGGUUAAGAGUUUAGCCCUAUUAUAUCUCAUAUAUAGGACUAUCUGGGGUCUCACAUACUACCAGUGUGGCCAGGAGAGCUACAUCCGUACUGAGUGCCCGAGAGGUUCUUCACCGGCACCGUCGACUGUAUCGGCACCGGCUCUACCAGCCGUGAGCCACGGGACUCCGUCGACACAGUACCAGCCGGAGCGGCCACCCGUCCAGCGCCAGAGCGAGGGAUCUCGACAGGCCCUGUGUAAUAUACCGAGAAUUUGGAAAAUAAAUGUCGAACUUUAGUCAAAUUGACCAAAGUCUGAGGAAGGUACACUUCGGAAAGUCCGAAGGUGUUAAAAGGAUCAAAAGUGUGUUAUGGGAGAUUUUCGAGAGCUAAAGAAUCAAAGAUCUGCAAACUGCAGUUUUUGAGCUCUGGGGGACCAGUCCCUGGAGGGAGAGACCGGUCCCCGAACGCGUGAAAACUCAGCAGCUGAAAAAUCGGCUAAGUCCUGGAAAACUAGCUCUCGGGAACCGGUCACUGCGGGGAGAGACCGGUCCUCGAGAGACCGGUCUCCCUGGCAGAGACCGGUUGUCCCGUGCGAAAGCCCUGCUGCCCGCGGGGAGAGCUCUCUGGGAUCGGUCCCAAGUCGGGGAGACCGGUCCCCGAGCACGGAAAGUGCCCAGUUCGGGCAGUGUAUCAGGAUGAAAGUUGAGGGGUUUAACUGAAAUUUUGCAACCCAUAGAGUAUAGUAUGGGGGAAAAUGAGAUGUUUCUCUCAUUUCACUCCCUCUUCCACUCUCAUCUCUCUUUCUCUCUCUAGAAGACAAGAAGGAGAAGAAGAAGAGAAGGAAAAGAAGGAAAAAGAAGAGGAAGAAAGUGAAGAAAAAGGCAAGGAGAAGAAGAAGACCCCUCUUCUCCUUCUCUAUCUUGGAAAAGGAGCAAGCUUAGAGGUAAGCCUUGCCCCUUCUCAUGGUAAAUCCCAAACUAGGGUUUGGAUUAGGCUAAGAAUGGUUUUUAUAGAACCUUUAGAGUAUUUGAAGCUUUCCUUUUGCUUUUUUUGAGAUCAAGACCAUGGCAUGAGUGUAAUGGGUGAAGCUUGAAGGUGAGCUUGACCCCUCUCAUGAUAGAAUCCAAACUAGGGUUUAGAUUGAACUAAAGAUGGUUUUGAUGGACUUCCUAGAGUAGAACGAAGCUACUUUUGCUUCCCAAUGAGAUCAAACCCUAAGUUUUCUUAUGCUAUGGAGGGAGGGCACCCAAAUUGGGGCUUUUGCUCAUGGGGAUUUCUAAGUGAAAUUGACCCUCUAGAAACCUAAUUAGGACCAAACGAACGCGUUGGUGCGCUCGGUUUGAGUAUACGAAAAGCCAAUGUAAAGAUAUGAGCAAAAUAGCCUAAUAGGGUUUUGUUUUGCUGCAGGUAAAGAACGAAGGGUCUAAAAAUCCAAAGAAAAUCAUCGAAGCACCUUUGAAAAUCUACGAGGUGGGUGGUGCUUUUCAAACUCGUUGAACUUCCCUCUAUGCCUAAUGUGUCAUUCAAUUGAGCAUAUGUAUAUACAUUGUUGCAUGCAUUUUAGGGUAAAGCAAUGAUAAAAAUAUGAUGUUGCAUGAUUGUGAGUACAACUUGCGUAAUGUGAUGGUUAAGAACCUUAUGAAUGUCAAAACCCUAUAUAUGUAUGCAUGAGAGAAAAUGUGAGUACCAAAGUGAGGUGAAAGAACCGAGUGACACAAUUAGACAUAGAUCGAGUGGCAUUUGAUAAUGUAAAAUAAAGUGACACUAGAGGUAGUGUGAGGCAAAGAAUCAAUGUGAUGUAAAGAAUAAUGAUAAUGACUAAAGUGAAAACAAAGUGGGGCGUAAAGAACAUGAUUGCUAGAGUUAGCAAAAGUAAAGAAAGGUAAAGAACAAUGAUUGCUAGAGUAGCAACAUAAAGUGAUGUAAAGGACACUAGAGUUAGUGUAAAGUCAAGAUUGAACAUACAAUCCUUUGAGUUAAGGAUUCGAUUAUACUUGCUAUGAGUUUCGUGCUCGAGGGCGGUUGCUCCCCCUCGGGCGAUGCGCUCCGGAGUUUUUGCAUCACGGGUUAGAGUAAACCCGUGGACGGUUUUAGCGGGAGGAAGCUGAGGGGGCGCGAUGAUGGACUUAAUGUGAAGCAAGUUAAUGUGGCGAAACCCCCGGGUUAGCCCUGAGAUUAAAGAACAAAGAGCAAAGAACAAAGAACAAAGACAAGGUGUAAAGUGCAAAGAACAAAAGAACUUGCAUAAUCUGCAUAUGUUAAUGUUGAGCAUAUUUCCUGCUUAUUGUUCAGGCAUAUUAGCAUCAUAUUAUAGACUGAUUACUAUAUGCAGCUUUUCCUUUCUAUUAUGCCUGAGUUAGUCCUAGUGGGAAAGUCGGUGAUGUUGAGGCCGAACCCACUGGAAACUUUGUUGUAGUUCUCACCCCACUAUUCCACAAAGCCGGGACCGAGCAAGCUGGCGAGCAACCGCGGUAAAGGUAUCGCACCAUAGUCAGAGGCUAGCAGUGCUGGGUUUAUAUUUUGUAGUAGAGUACCCUAUGAUCAUCUUUUGUAUUUGAUGAUUAAUGACGUAAAGAAAAGAAUGUAAAGCUCUCUUUUGAGGUAAAUGUGAUGUAAGAAAGAGAUGAUGAAACGAUGUAAUGAAAUGUAAGGGAUUGUAAAUGUACAAGUUGGAUGUAAUGUAUAUGAUCUAAAUUGAAUCAUAGUACAAAAUAAAUGCUAAUUUUUUUAUAUUUCACUCAUGGCUAUUUCUUACCCUCGUGUAAGCCGUAUUUGUAUGUUUCCGCUAGUGCACUUUUUUGUUGAAAAUGUACAUGUGAUGAGCCUUGGGCGCACAGGGGAAAUUCUGUCCGUUCGGCAUCUAUUUGACGUGCUCGGGCCGGCCCAAAUUGGUAUCGGUCACGGGGCGUGACAGAUAUCGUGGUAUCAAAGCCAAGAGUGAAAGAAUAGGAAUGGACCUAGAGACCAUUAGGAUUGGAAGACCUUAAGGAUCUAGGAAAUGUGAGUGACAUGGAAUUAAAGUUAGCGAAAGCAUGUGAUUGGGUUAAGUUGGGACGUCUCUAAUGUGGUUAGAGGCUAAGUUUAAUUUUCGUUUAUCCUCUACUUCUAGUGUUGUGUCGGGCGGCCGACGACGUGACGCUUGAGGCAAGAAUGAAUGUGCAUGUUGCUUUCGCCAGAUUGGGUUGGUCAAGUAAUGUUGGUCAAGUAGCUAAUGCGAGUUGCUUCUUUUCAGUAAGCAAUGGCACCUCGUGGACGACCGCAGACAAGGUCGAUGCCGGAGGAGCCGAGUGCGGAGCCCGAGCGAUCCGGAGCGAGUGGCGACGGAGAGCAUAGGGAACAGAUGGCCGCGCUUAUUGGAGUGGUGCGGCAACAAGCGGAGUCUGUUCAACGCCAAGGGGAGCAGAUUCAGUGGCUCCAAGAGGCUUUGGAGCAUCAGCAGGCAGUGGCAGCGGCCCAGGCGGGUAUCGAGCAUGUCGCGUCUCCUGUGGUGGUACCGAGUGUGGAUGAGGGAGCGGCGGCAGCGGCGGCUGUUCCAGUUAUGGUAAUACUGGCCGGAUUGGGAACUUCAAAUCCCGGUAGUGCGGCGGUAGAAGCGGAGCGAGAGCGCAUGUUGGCGGCUCUCAUUCAGUUCAACAAGUUCAACCCACCUAUUUUUGAAGGUGGAUUGGUGGAGCCAGUGGUGGUGGAGUCGUGGAUCGACUCGAUGGAAACGCUCUUCGAGGACCUAAAUACCUCGGAGAAGGACAAAGUGUACCUUGCCACUCAUUGUCUAGAGAAGGCGGCGAUGGUGUGGUGGAAGCAAGUUAAGCGGGAUCGACCUACCGAUCUCCCGCUUAUGCUUUGGGAGGAGUUCAAGAGGGCAGUCUUCGCGAAGUACUUCCCCGACACGGUGAAGCGGAGGUUACAAGAGAAGUUCCGCAAGUUGAGACAGGGUGAUCGAUCGGUGGGGGAAUACGAGCAAGAAUUCUCCCACAUUAUAGACUGUGUUCCAGAUGUUGUUAGAGACGAUCGGGAUCGCGCUGACUGGUUCUUGCGAGGACUCCAGCCCCGGAUCUACGAAACGGUGCAGAUCUUAAAGUUGACGACCUUUGCGGAGAUUUUUGAUAGAGCAUUGUGGGCAGAGCAUGGUAGCGCUCACGUGCGAGAAGAACGAGAAGCUAUUGCCGAGUCUAAGGACAGGGGCAAAAAGCGAGCAGCGGGUGGUGCCGGGGGCUUGCCAAAUGCUAGGAAAUCCCCUCGGUAUCCUUGACAGCAGUCGAAGAACUGGAGACCUCCUCGAUGUGUUAUUUGUGGUGGUGAGCACAAGGUGUCGACUUGCUCGCAGCGCGACGGCAAGUGUUUCAAAUGCGGCCAACCGGGACAUCUUAUCCAGGAGUGCCCGACAUGGACGUCGUCUGCGCCGACGGCGGCUUCAGCACCGUCUACCCCGAGACAGCUUGCGGGGUUGCCACCAGUGAUGUCGGCUCGGCGCGGGUCAUCACCGCGUCAGCCGGAGGGAUAGAGAGCGCCUAGCGGCCGGGUCUUUGUCGCUCAAGUGGAGGAGCAGCAACCUGCAGCACCCGACAACGUCGUGGCAGGUAUAAUUAUGAUUAAAGGCACUAGAGCUAGAGCAGUAUUUGAUACAGGCGCAUCAUAUUCGUUCAUUAGCACAUCAUUUGCUGAAACACAUGGCAUAGAGAUGGUAUACAACGAGGAUUACAGGUGGGUGAACGCCCCAGAACAUUCAUUCAGUGUCCAUAAUGAGUGUUUGGCGUGUCCAGUGCAAAUAGGCGAUUGGAUUAUGCCGAUUGAUCUGCUGGUGCUAGAUCAGAUGUGGGGAUUGACGUUAUCUUGGAGACCAACUAGCUCUCCAAGUGCUAUGUAGUCAUAGAUUGUGAAAGUAAGGUGAUCACUUUUCGUGAGCCUAAUCAAGAAGAGUUGGUCUACCAAGCGUGCAAAAGUAAGCGCUUUGCGGCCACCAUAUCGUCUGUGAGGGCGAAGAGAAUGAUCAAAGGAGGGUGUAAGGCCUAUUUGGCAACCAUGGUAGAUGCUAGAACGGAGUACCCAGAGUUGGGGGAUAUUCGAGUAGCGUGUGAGUACCCGGAUGUGUUUACGGCGGAGUUACCGGGACUGCCACCGGACUGGAAAGUUGAGUUCGUCAUUGACUUGAUUCCCGGGGCGGAACCAGUUUCGAAGGCUCCGUAUAGAAUGGCACCGGUGGAGUUAAAGGAGCUAAAAGGUCAACUACAAGACUUGCUCGAUAAGGGCUUCGUGAGGCCGAGUGUGUCACCGUGGGGAGCUCCGGUGCUAUUUGUGAAGAAAAAGGAUGGCACACUUCGACUCUGCGUAGAUUAUCGCGAGUUGAACAAAGUGACGAUAAAGAACAAGUACCCGUUGCCAAGGAUUGACGAUUUAUUCGAUCAGUUGCAAGGAUCCAAGGUGUAUUCGAAAAUUGAUCUCCAAUCGGGGUAUCAUCAAUUAAAGAUUAGACCGAAGGAUGUGCACAAAACGGCGUACCGUACGCGGUAUGGCCAUUAUGAGUUCACAGUAAUGCCAUUUGGGCUUAUAACGCCCCGGCAGCAUUUAUGGACUUGAUGAAUCGCGUCUUCAAGCCGUUGUUGGACCGAUGCGUCGUGGUGUUCAUAGACGACCUGUUGGUUUACUCAAAGAGUGAAGAGGAGCAUGAAGAGCAUCUGAGAGCUUUGUUGCAAAUACUCAGACAGGAGAAGCUCUAUGUAAAGUUGAAGAAGUGUGACUUUUGGCUGAAGGAGAUCAUAUUCUUGGGCCAUGUGGUGUCGGGUGACGCAGAGUUAGUAGACCCGAAAAGGGUAGAGGUAAUAAAGGAUUGGCCUCGCACGACGAAUGUAGCGGAGGUCCGCAGUUUUCUAGGACAUGCGGGCUACUACCGGCGGUUCGUGGAGGGGUUCGCCAAAAUAACCACUCCACUAACGCGCCUCACGCAUAAAAGAGUAAGGUAUGUGAGGAGCAACGAUUGCGAUCGAAGUUUCGAAGAGUUAAAGAGCAGAUUGACGUCGACCCCGGUGCUUGCCUUGCCGACUCCGGGGGAGACUUUUGUAGUGUAUAGUGAUGCCUCUUAUGUUGGUCUCGGGUGUGUACUAAUACAAAAUGGGCGAGUCAUUGCUUAUGCAUCGCGCCAAUUAAAGAGUUAUGAGAAGAACUACUCGAUUCACGACCUUAAGUUAGCCGCGGUGAUCUUCGCGCUAAAGCUAUGGAGGCAUUACUUGUAUGGUAAGCAUUGUGAGGUAUACACGGAUCAUAAAAGUCUAAAGUACUUGUUCACCCAGAAGGAGUUGAAUAUGCGCCAGCGGCGGUGGUUGGAGUUGUUGAAGGACUACGAUCUCACUAUACUAUACCACCCCGGGAAAGCCACUGUCAUGGCCGAUGCUCUAAGUAGAAAAUUGGCGGAGAACUUAGCGACGGCAAUUACGCCUCAACCGCUGUUGCACAAAGAAAUGCAACGAUUUGGGUUCGAAGUGGUAGCGCCGGGAGUGCCGGCUACACUUGCCGCACUAGUUGUACAAUCGACCCUGUUGGAAAGAAUCAAGGAUCUUCAAGCUUCGGUUCCUUAUCUUCAAAAGGUGCGAGGUGAAGUUGAGAAUGGCAACGCCGAAGAUUUUGGCGUUGGAGCUGAUGGCGCACUUCGGUUUCGAAAUCGUUGGUGCGUGCCCAAAGAUGAUGGGUUGCGAAGAGCGAUUAUGCAAGAUCCAAUCCCCCUAUAGCAUACACCCUGGCGGCACUAAAAUAUAUAAGGACUUAAAAGAGCAUUAUUGGUUGCCGGGUAUGAAGAGAGAUAUUGGGGAGUUCGUGGCGCAAUGUCUAACGUGCCAGCAGGUCAAAGCCGAGCGCCGAUUUUCGGCGGGAAAGCUAUAAAGUCUAUCAAUACUCGUUUGGAAAUGGGAAGAUAUAGCGAUGAACUUUGUUACUGGUUUUCCUCGAUCACAAGGCGGACACAAUGCGAUAUGGGUGAUAGUGGAUCGAUUGACAAAGUCAGCACACUUCUUGCCGAUACAUACUACGUGGUCGGGGGACAAGUUAGCUCAGGUUUACCUCGGCGAGAUUGUGAAACUUCAUGGGGUUCUAGUGUCGAUCAUAUCCGAUCACGACCCGAGAUUCACGUCUCAUUUCUGGAAGAGCUUACAAGACGCGCUAGGCACACGGCUCGAUUUUAGUACAGCGUUCCAUCCUCAGAGUGAUGGACAGUCGGAGCGGACAAUACAAAUUCUCGAGGACUUGCUUCGAGCGUGUAUGCUAGAUUACAAAGGAGGAUGGCAUGAUUUCUUGCCGAUGGCGGAGUUCGCCUAUAAUAAUAGCUACCAAGAAAGCAUAGCGAUGGCGCCUUUUUGAGGCACUAUAUGGACGUAAGUGUCAUUCUCCUAUCCAUUGGAACGACGUGGGCGAGAGAACGGCUCUUGGCCCGAAUGUAGUACGGGAGGCGGAAGAGAAAGUUCGCCUUGCCGGUCAACGGUUGGCGACGGCGCAAUCUCGGCAAAAGAGUUAUGCCGGGUGUAAGAUAUGGAUCCCGAGGAUCUAAAAGGUAAGUAACACCUAGAGGGGGGUGAAUAGGUGUAAUCCGGCAAUCUCGAAAAAAUCUCGAUGCAAAUAAAACACAAUUGCAGAAAUUAAAAUAGCACACCGAGAAUUUAACGUGGGAAAACUCCAAUUCGGAGUGAAAAACCCACGGGACCGAUCACGCAAAGAAAAUCCACUAAGAAAACUUGAGUACAAGUGAUUUCGACCAAAAACACACGACUCAAUUUACCGAUUUCUCGUUGACGGUGAUCUUUGCCGGUCCUCGAUCGAUAGGAAUCCACCAAUCGACCUUGCUGCUACUCCUCGCAGCGUCAACGCCUCAACUCCUCGAAGCGUCCACCGAAUCCUCGGCUUCGCGCGAGAUCCACGCGCCGAACCUCCUUCCGGAGCUUGUAGAAUUGAAGAUUUGCGGUGAUUCAACUUUUGAAAACCAUAAGCUAUGAGGGUUCACCUUUAAUCAAUCAUCUACUUGAUUCUCGUAAGAAGUAUUGAGUAAAAACGAAGAAUCAAGCCGAUGUUGAUUGCUAGAAACUCAUCGUAUAAAUCAAAACAUUGAAACGGGAAGAAAAAUAAGUUUCUAGGGUUUGGAAUUGGUAAAAUAUUCAAAGCCUUAAUUUUAGACGACCCACAUAGCUUAUUUAUAUGUUUAGAAAACUUAGAAGUAGACUAGGAUUGCAAAAAGUCAAUUUCAAAAACCUGUGUCGUCCUCAGAGACCGGUCCUGUCGAGGAGACCGGUCUGUGAGAGACCGGUCUCUCAAGUGAGGAACCGGUCCCUCCCUGCGUGACCAAAAACCCCACGUUCGGGAACCGGUCUCUCAAACCUGAGACCGGUCCCUCGCUGCGCGACAGAACCACCAAGGUUCGGGAACCGGUCUCUCAACACAGGGGACCGGUUGCAUCAAGGUUUACGCAGUGAGGACCUUGGGGGAACCGGUCUCUCCAUUUCAGAGACCGGUCCCAGAACAUAAGAAAGUUCAGUAAAUUUGUUUAAAAACAAUCUAAGCCUUCUGAACUUAUUUUAAUCAUGUAACUUCACCACAAAUGAUCUUUUCUACAUACCUUAGGUGUCGAUCUUUCCGAAUGCGUCUUUGUCCUCUAAUUUGAAUCUUUUCUCAAAAUCUUCUGCGAUCAACUCUUCAAGACUCCAAACAACUUUACGAAAUUCGCCAACCUAUAAAAUCCUUAACAUUGGCCCGACAGCCGGAGGAAAAGAAUUUAGAGUUCGCAGGUUAGAAGACGCGUGUAUUCUUGGAGAGUAUCGUCGAUGGCCGGAGCGAAUCAAAGACAAUUUGGGGUAUGUGGAAGGCAAGCCGCCUCGAUCGUCGCGAACCACUUUGAAGUAUUGGGACGCGGGUGGGGUGCGAGUAAUAUACCGAAAUUAGGAAACCGAUAAUAUCGAACUGUUAGUCAAGUUGGAGCCAAGUACGAGUGAUGGUACACUUCGGAAAUGCUCCGGAAGGGUUGUUAAAGAUCAAAAGAGGGGGAGUAACGGAGGUUUCGAGAGCUAAGGUUGUGAAAUCUGGCAUUUUGCGGUUUUCAGCUCUCGGGGACGGGUCCCUGGGUGGGAGAGACGGAUCCGAACGCCGUAUGAAUGAAGAAUGCCGAAAAUCGGCUAAGUCCCUGAGAACCACUCUCGGGCAACGGUCCCUCCCGAAGAGACCGCGUCAACAGAACGGCGUCCCCUCAAACGGGAGACCGCGUCGCAUAUGCGCGCAGCAGCUCUGGCUGCGCUGGAGAGAGGCUAUCACCCCGGACGGACGCGCAGAGGCCUUCCCGAGGCCCGUGUCCAGACCGCCAUUAUACGCGCGAACGUCACACAUAUAAGGCGUCUAGAGUAAAAGCGAAAGUAAGAGCGAGAAGUAAAAGAAACGAAUGUGCAACAACUAGUGAUAUCAGAGCAGUAUGAUUCUAUCUUCUAUAACAAUAGGAAAAGAGCAUAACUAAACCAUAAAAGUGAAACAUAAGUAGUACAAUAACUGUCUCUAGUACAAAAAUGGUGGUCUCUAUACAUAUACGGGUACAACUCUCAACCUCUCACAAAAAGAAAACACGAGAGGUAGACCACCUAUCGAACGAUCCCUCGGUAAGCGCGCUAGCCCGAGGCGAUACCCUUUCCGCGAUCCCUGGCCUCACCCUGAGUGGAAGGCUCUGAAAAACAUCGAGAAAAAGAGGGCGUGAGAACUAUAAUUUAUAGUUUCCAGUGGGCAAUUACUGACCUCAGCUCCUGCUCCACUAGGCCCCAAAAACAAGGGUAAGUAACGUAAUAGCAAUAAGCAAUAAAAAGGAGCAUGUAAUAAACUGCUGAAAGAGAGAGCAUAAGUAAAAUGCUAUACUACUAUAUCCCUCAUAAGCACGAUGUCAAAAUGUUGUACAUCUAUUCUAUCAUAAGGAAAAGUAACCAAUGGCAAUAGUUUACUGUUACAACCCUUUAUUCAUACAUGAUGCAUAAGCUCUAUCAUGCCAACCAAGCAUACUGUGAUGAAAUAGAUAACUGUCAAGUAUACUACAUGUCUCAACCCUAGGCUAUAUGCACAUCAAUGUAAUCCAACUACGAAACCGGUCUAGUAGUGAUCGUUCAUUAUCAAACCGUGUCGAUUUCCAUUUCCAAUUAGGGACCUACCCAAGGUAGUCCAGCUUGUGCCGCCUAAGUGCCUGUGGUAGCCCAACAUCCCUACUCUUGGAAUGUGUCUGUCCUACUCGACCCCGUAGGCUUCUCAAUACCGCACGAGCGAACAAAAGUCGCGUAGGCUAACUCCGGAGUGCCGGCUUGUGGGGAGCGACCCUCACAAGCAUGUGCGAAAGAGCACAAAUGGCAAACAAGCAAGGUCACUGUCUCAAGUACCCAAUCCUCAUGUCUCUAACAUGGUAUAGUCGCUAGCAUCCCGAAGGUCUAGUUCCAAGUCAUAAUGUGAAGUCCCAACACACACUUGCUUAGUGCCUCUUUAUGACACUUAAGCUCCACAACUAAUCAUGUUCCAAUUAAGACAUUAACAUUAAUGCUCACUAUGCCCCGGGCCCUAAUGCCUCUUCAUGACAUUGGCCCAAUCUCACAUAUCAUUUAAGUCCCUAAGCCUCUCUAGGCUUCCAAAAAUCCCUAAUGUCACAUCUGGUAUAUAGUUUGAAUGCAUGAAAGCAAGGUUCGUUUUCAUAAUAGGGAUUAUAAUUUCAAAUCUCAACUAGAAUGCUAGGCCACACAUGCAUGCUCUCUACUAUAUAGAGGUCCCAAAAUUUACUACACAUAACCUAUGCAUGUUAAGCAUUCUAAAAUUCAUAAUAAAUACAUUUAACAUGAAAAUGCAUGAAUUUCAACUUUACGAAACAUUUAACACCAAAUAUGAGCAUUUCUCAUAUUGUAUGCUAGGCCAAACCCACCGAACCGUCGCGUGCUCCUUCGAUUCGCCGAACGGAGUUGCCCACGAGCCUCAAAAUGCCCUAGAAGUGAUCAGCGAAGAGAUACGAGGGCAUUACGACCAACCGUAAGAUCAAACAUUAACCUAGAAGCAAAAAGGGCCAAAAUUAACCUCAAGAGUAGAAAUCUCUUCUAAAGCUCCAAAAGAGAGCUAGAACCUUUCCAAUCCAAGCCCAAGGAAGGUUCUAAACCAAUCAAUUUAACCCCAAAAGCCCUAGAUUCAAAAAGCCCAAAAUCAAACCCUAACUCUCAUUCUAGGGUUUCAUCACAAGAAAAAUCUCAAAUCCAAAGUCUAGAUGGAGAGAAAGGGCUACCAACCUCAAGGAAGCUUCAAUCCAAGCUCGAAUGGGUGAAAAUCUUCACUCUUGCAAGCUCCAAGUCCAAGCUCCAAGCACCAAGGAAGAAGAGAGGGUGAGGAAGAUGCUCCAAGUCCUCUAAAAGCUCUCAAUCUUCUUCUUCUUCCUUUCCUUCUUCUCCUUCUCCUUCUUCUUCUUCUCCUCUACCAAGGGUGUGGAGAGAGUUGAGAGAAGAGAAAUGAGGAGAAGAGAGGGUGGAGGGGUCAUAUAGACCCUCUAUUGUAACAAAAUCCCAAGAGGCCCCUCAAAAAUCCAAUAUUGCAUCAGCCCGGUCUGGGCAGUUUUCGCCCAGAGGGAUCCGGUCUCUCCCCAGCAGGGACCGGUCUCUCGCUGCGAACCUGAAAAAACCAGCGUUCGGGAACCGGUCUCUCCCUGCGCGGGACCGGUCUCUCAGUGCGUAGACGCGCUCGAGGGACCGGUCUCGCCCGCCAGGGACCGGUUGCCUCAGGGCUGCUGCAACACUGUUCACUGGGGGACCGGUCUCUCCUUUCCAGGGACCGGUCCCCGAGAGUAAAAACUCUCAGGACUUGUCCAAAAUUUCAGUUUUCGAACUUUUUAGGUCGAAAAAUAUUUUACAACCCUCCACCAAGUGUGGAAAAGCUCGAAAUACAUCCAAGUACUCGAACCUCGCAAUUUGCAAAGGCCCAGUGUGUUACAGCCAGGCACAGGUCUCUCCCCGCGCAGACGGCGCUCAGGGACCGUGUCUGGCACUGCACUGGCAUCCCGGCAUAAUUGCCUUCGCCCGGGAUACGAGCAGUCACUGGGGACGUAAGCCGCGCUCCAGAUAAAACUCUCAGCGACUCUGCCAAACCUUCGAGAUCGAACUUUAGGCCGGUAUAACCAAUCGGACGCGCCCUCCACCAAGUGUGGAAAAGUUUGGAUACAAAUUCGAACACACUCGAACCUACAAUUUGCAAAGGUCCAAGUGUGCUACACAGAUAAGCGUCUUCGCUGACUCCGUAGCUGUGAAAAACAAGCUUUCGAGGGACCGGUCCUCAAUUCAGAGACCGGUCCCUCCCUGCGCAAUAAAGAAAAACCACAUACGGGAACCGGUCCUCAAGAUCAGGGAUUGGUCUCCCAAAACUUCUACGCAGAGAAGCUUGAUGGGUCCGGUCCCUCUGAUCAAGGACCGGUCCCUGACCCCUGAGAAUUUUUGAAAACUUUAGUUUUGAAUCUCAAAAAUAAAAACCAAGUCUUCUAAACAUUUUUAACAAAAUCUCACCACAAAUUAUUUAUAAUCAUACCUGAGAUCCCAAGGGUCUUUGAUCACCAAACUCCAAUUCUUUCUUCAACCUUCGUCUUCUAACUCUUCGAGACACCGUCCAAAACUUCACGAAAGUCGCCAACUUAGUAAAAUCUUUAACAAUCUCCCCCUUUGGCGAUUUCGUGACAAAAAAAAUAAAACUAUUACAAAACUCAUUCAAAAAAUAAGAUAAGAAGAUUAUUGCAAUCACCAAACAAUAAUCUUCUGCAUGAUUGAUCCAAUAAAAACAAAAUUACAUUUUUCACAUCCUAAUACAAACUCUAUGACUUAAGACACGCUGUGGAGUCUCGAAGUCUUGAAAUACCCUGCAAAACAAUCUCCACAUACUUCAUCAAGAUUUGCAAUGAAUUCAGUUACAAGUCAAGAGUUCAUGCAUAGAUCAUACUCAAGCAAAGUUUAAUCAAGCGAAAAAAACAAAGUGCAAGUUCAAGUUCAAGAAAAAUACAAAAACACAUCAUAGCAAAGUCAUCAUCCAGCAUCAUCAUCAUCUUCAUCUCCCCCUUUUUGUCAAGAAAACGCCAAAACGACCAAAAUGAGGAACACCGCCAACUUUAAUCCGAAUCAGCACCUGGUGCAGGAAUAUCCGCGCUACAACACCCCAGUUUAUCAAAAAUAGCUUUCAUCAGGCGACGAAGCUUGCUUACUUGCCGAGUAAGGCAUUCCUGUUCUGCAACCAUGCGAGCCUGAUCAUCAGAAAUCCUUCGAAGUUCUCCCGAAAUCCGUUCUUGCUCCAGUAAGAGCCGUUGUUGUUCCCGAUAAAUCGAGGAAACAGACAUUUCUUCUUCAGACACUUCUGCAGAAGGGCGAGAAGAACCAGGAGGUGGAGUGGAACGCUGCUGAGACGAACGUCGCGGAGGAGAACGCUAUGACUGAAGCUGUACCGAAGACUUGAUGAAAGUAGUUUCACUAAUCACGCCCAAACUAUGCUCAUAAGACGAACAUCUUGUGUCAACACCAAACAUCCACAAAAUCCGCAUUAUGAUCAAUGGAUAAGGCAACCUCUCUGAUUGACUUGAAGUCUUGAUGUCUUUAGCCAUACGUCGCCAAACCAAAAAUGGAACAUUAAGAUUGAUCUUCCUAUCACGAACCACAUUCGGCUGACCCACCAAAUACAUAUAAAGCAUGCGAUCCCAACGCACGACCUUCGUGUUAGCCAACGGCAUAAUAUUAUAGCAGACUACAAAAUUCAGAAAACGAUACUCAAUCUUCAAUUCCUUUGACAUCACACAAAUGCUAUUGGGUUCAACAUUGGGCAAACAUACUCCAUUCAUAACCCGACGCCAAUCUUGAACCGCAUCAAAACCAGUAUGCAAAUAUUCGAUUGCAUCAGUCCGAGCUUGCAUACUAAGAACAGAAGCAAUAGUGUCAGGAGUAAUUGUCAACUCGAUGCCACGCACAGAGGUCUUAAAGAUGAACGGUCCACCAUCGGAAUCCUCCAGAUAACCCGCUCUCAUAUAGAAUUUCCGAAUUAAUUCCAAACAAUAUCCAGUUUGUUCGGGAAAGUCGCUAAUUUCGUAGAGACCCCCGUUCUCAAACAAAGCUUGAAGACCAGGCACUCGCUCAAUCAAGUUCUGAACUCCAACGUGGCACUCACCUAUACAAUUUUUCGAAGAGUACAUAGAACGUCUCUUCGGAUCAACGUUACCUUCCUGAGUACUGCGGCGAGGUAAAUCAGUGGUAGGUUCACGAAUUUCAAUACCUCCAGUCCUCUUCUUACUAUGAGAGUACGCCAAUUUUUUCGUUCCUUUCCCUUUGGUUUUGCUCUUUCCUUUCUCCUUUUCUGUAACUACCUUUUCCUUCCCUUUCUUCUUCGUCGACAACACUUCCGGAGAGAGUGCUUCCCAAUCUAUCGACUCAGUUUCCGAUUCUUCAUCAGGAGCAUAUUCACUGCCGAUAUCCUCAACCGAUGGCUCGACAGGUUGUUGAGUCGAAGAACGAUGUCGCUUACUACCACGACCACCACCAGCCAUGAGGAACACAAGUACAAGCAAAAGUGAAUACAUUUUGUUUUCGAAAAGAAAAUCCCUAUUUCAACAAGUUAAAACAAAACACAGAUAUCUUCAGUUUUUUUAGAAAAAAUAGGAAAAUCUUGAGAAAUCUAGGGCCAUAUGAAAGAAAACAAAGAAAUGCAUCAAGAGAAUGAAGUAAUGCAUGAGGAAGUCAAGGAUCACAAGUAAAAAAACAAAAAUCACAGUUAAUAAACAAGAGACCCAUCAAAAAUGUAGGUCAAAUCCCAACCAAAACAUAUUCUCGGAAUAUGUAUGGAAACAAAAACCCUAAAUCAAAAAACUUACCAACAAAGCAAAGAAAAACGGGAAGAAGGAAAGCAAAAACCCUCUGGAGCCCUAGGCCGGUCGUGGGAGGUGUUUUAGAGAAAAUGGUAAAGUAAGAGAGAGAGACCGGACCAACAUUCGUAAAUAGGAUCGGGCGGAGAGACCGGUCCUUCAAGACGGGAGACCGGUCCCCGUACCAAAAAAAAUUUCCCCCUUUUUUUUUUAAAUAAACACGGUGAGUACCCAAUGACAAUUAAUAUAAAUUUUAUAAAUAUAGUAAACAAAGUCAAUCUCAAAAAUAUUCAAAGUGUCAAGAUUUGUUGAAUCGAUCGACGAAUUAAAUGCUAAAUGAGUAUAACGCUAAAUUCCACACAUCAGCCAAGAUCUAAAAAUUAAUCGUAUUGUAUUGUCGUCAUAGUUGCUAAAUAGAGGAAUAAAAAGAUCCCAUAAUCAUGAAAUUAAGAUAAGAUGAUCAAAUUGAGUUAUGCACAAAAUUCGACGAGGGAGUGGCUCUUUGAGCAUCUUUUCACUAUCCACCUUAUAUCACCUAGGAGAUGUAUUGUAAGUAACCCAUGUUUUAUCAUCUCCAAAGCACCUCAAUUAAACCCCUUUUUUUAUAUAUAUCACAGGACAUCCUCAGAUAUAUUAGGCAUCUUUAGCAACUGAGAUACUUUAAACAGACAUGUGGUAGCUGCACACACUUACCGGACGACCGGAGUGGUAGCUCUUUCCUCCAUGUGGUGGUAGUUUUCACACUCCCAUGAGGGAUGUAACUCUUUCCGCAUCUUUUCCAUUUUAAUUUAAUAACAGGAAAGACUCCCCCUAAGUAAGUGCAACCAUCAAGUUGACGAUAUUAUCUCAAGUUCAAAAAUAGGGAAAUCUGUAUUCAUAUCAUAGCUCAUAAGCCAACAAGACAAAGACAAUGUUUAAAGUUCAAAGAAAGAGAUGUUGAAUUUUGCAAAUUAUACUAAAACAGAAUUUGAAUGAAUCAAUCUUUUCAAAAAAAAAAUAACAUAGAGAACAAAAAUGACAUUGACCAAGCUAACCAUAUUAUAAAAUAAUGAAAAUCAAGUCAUGGAUAUCUCAAAUGAUCAUGAAAAACGAUAGAUAUGCAAAAGAGUUUGUGCAAGAUCUAUGGCCCAUAGACUACCUCUAGACUGAAGGAUUCAUACCAAUAGCCUUUCGCAAAUAUAGAAAACGUUUUUGAUCUAAAGGUUUUGUCAAAAUAUCAGCAAGCUGAUUUUCAGUAAAAAUGUAUUCAAGAUGAAGAACAUUUGAUUCGACCAAUUCUCUCAAAAAAUGAUAUCUGAGAUCAAUAUGUUUUGUUCGAGAAUGUAAAACAGGGUUUUUAGAAAUAUUGAUUGCACUUGUGUUGUCACAAAGGAUAGUAAGAGUGGUGGAAGGAAUUCGAUAGUCGCUCAGCAAACUCUUCAUCCACAACAACUGAGUGGAGCAACUACCAGCAGAAAUAUAUUGAGCCUCGGCAGUGGAUAAUGCAAUACAGUUCUGUUUCUUACUGUGCCAAGCCACAAGACAAUGUCCAAGCUAGAAACAACCUCCACUAGUACUUUUCCGAUCAUCUGCAGAACCAGCCCAGUCUACAUCUGAGUAUCCGAUCAGCUCAAGAGAUGUUCCCAUCCGAUACCAGAGACCAUAUGCGGUUGUACCUUUAACGUAUCGAAUAAUCCUUUUGACCGCUUUUAGAUGAAUUUCCUUAGGAUUAGCUUGAUAGCGAGCACAAAUUCCAACACUGAAGGCAAUAGCUGGUCUACUCGCAGUCAAGUACAAUAGGCUCCCAAUCAUGCUUCUGUAUAGUUUCUUAUCCACGCUCGGUCCUUCCGAAUUCAAUCCAAGUCCUUUAUUACUUGUACCCAUUGGAGUGUCAAAAUAUUUUGCUUUGUCCAAUCCAAAUUUAUUAACCAAGUCUUUCGCAUAUUUGGAUUGACACAAAUGUAUUCCAUCUUUAGUUUAUUUGACUUGAAGUCCAAGAAAAUAGUUAAGCUCCUCCAUCAUUGACAUCUCGAAUUCGCUUGUCAUCAACUUUGGAAAAUCAUUGGCAUCCUUAUCUUUAGUUGCUCCAAAAACGAUGUCGUCAACAUAAAUUUGUGCCACAAUGAAAUUAUUUUUCGAGUGUUUUACAAAAAGAGUUCUAUCCGCUCUCCCUCGGUUGUAGCCCUUUUCCAAAAGAUAUUUUGUCAAACGUUCGUACCAUGCCCGCGGAGCCUGUUUAAGUCCAUAAAGUGCCUUUUUCAGUCGAAAAACAUGAUUAGGAAAUCUUGAGUCUAUGAAACCUUUCGGUUGUUCAACAUAAACUUCCUCUUUUAAAAAACCGUUUAGAAAAGCACUUUUAACGUCCAUUUGAAAAAGAGUAAUUUUAAAAUGACAGGCAAUCGCGAACAAAAUACGAAUUGAUUCAAGCCGAGCAACCGGGGCGAAAGUUUCCUCAAAAUCUAUUCCCUCAACUUGUGAGUAGCCCUGAGCAACAAGUCUCGCUUUGUUUCGAACAAUGGUACCAUCCUCAUUUUUCUUAUUCUUUAAAAUCCAUUUGGUACCAAUUAUAUGUUGUUGCUCAGGACGUGGCACUAAUUCCCAGAUAUCAUUACGCGUGAAUUGACCGAGUUCGUCUUGCAUAGCAUUAAUCCAAUAUUCAUCGAGAAGAGCUUCCUCAACAUUCUUAGGCUCAACUAAAGAGACAUAACAAGCAAAUUCAUACUGAAGUUGUCUCCUAGUUUUCACACCAGUAAGAGGGUCUCCAAUAACAUUUGACAAUGGGUGAUCUUUCACAGGCGUAAGUUCAGAAGAGGUAAUAGGGGUUUCAGAUGAAUCAUGUGAUGCAAUAGUAUCAACAGUUUCAGCAGAUUUAUCAGGCACAGAAUUUUCAUCAAUCACAGGCAAGUUAAACGGAGAAUCAUCAUCAUCAUCAUUCAGACAAGCAUUGGAAGAAUCAUUCACAGAAGAUCCUACAGAAGAAGCUUCAUCUACUUUGAUAUUAAUGGAUUCUAUCACCGUCUUAGUAUGUAAAUUGUACGCUCGAUAUGCACGACUCGAAGUAGAAUACCCGAGAAAAAUUCCUUCGUCACUUCGGGAGUCAAAUUUUUUAAGAUUUUCACGAUCCCGAAGGAUAAAACAUUUACUCCCGAAGACACGAAAGUAUUUGAUGUUCAGUUUUCAACCAAUCCACAAUUCAUACGGAGUGUUUAAAGUACCCGGACGUAAAUAAAUGCGGUUAAUCACAUAGACAGCCGUGUUAACUACUUCAGCCCAGAAGUGUAGUGCAACUUUCUUGCUAUGAAGCAUAACACGUGCCAUCUCCUGAACAACCCGGUUUUUACGUUCAACAACUCCGUUCUGUUGUGGUGUAUAGUGAGCAGAGAAUUCAUGUUUGAUGCCUUUUCAAAUACAGAAAUCAACAAAUUUUGAAUUUAUGAAUUCUCCCCCUUGAUCACUUCGAAUGCGUACAAUUUUAUCAUUCUUUUCAUUCAUAAGACGAAGACAGAUUUCAGAAAACGAAUCAAAAGUAUCAGCUUUUUCACAUAAGAAAACACUCCAGACAAAACGAGUAAAAUCAUCAACAAUAAGCAAAAUGUAUUGUUUUCCACCCAAACUUUGAAUCCUAGAAGGUCCCACUAAGUCCAUGUGAAGUAACUCUAAUGGUUUAGAUGUCCCUAAGUGGUUCAAAUUCUUAUGUGUGGCUCUAGUUUGUUUUCCCAGUUGGCAACCCCCACACACAGUGUUCUCCUUGAAGUCUAUCUUAGGUACACCUCUAACCGCCUCCUUCUUAGUUAUCUUAGAUAGUUCCUUAAAGUUCAUGUGACCUAGUCGUUCAUGCCAUAAAGUUUCAGUUUCUAAUGUCGCUAGAUUACAAUGUUCAGUUGAAGAUAUAGGAACUACAUAACAGUUAUUCUCAGAUCUUACACCUUUUAAGAAGAUAUCAUCAUUACGAGUCACAGUGCAUUCUUUGUCAGAAAAUUUCACGGAGUACCCGUCAUCACACAACUGACUUAUGCUCACGAGAUUUGAUUUGAGCCCCUCAACAUAAAAGACAUCAUUCAACGUAGGGCCAUCUGAGAUAGUGACAGUUCCUUUUCCAACAAUUUUUGAUGACCGUCCAUCUCUAAAAACAACAAGUCCACCGGAGAUUUUGUUUAAAGAUGAAAACCAAUUUUUAUCACCGGUCAUAUGACGUGAACAGCCACUAUCCAGAUACCAAGAAGUGUUGUCGUAAGCAUGAAGUGAAGUGUGAAUAACAAGGUAAGGAAAGAGUUCACCUUUGCGCACCCAAACCUUACGUGUUUUGGGUUGCGACGGCCGACUUGAAUGAGACACGCAUUGCUUGUCGACGAUUUGUGUAGUUCUUUUCUUCGAAUAAUUCUUCUUAGGCAUCCACGUUUGUUUUGCCUUUGUCUUUGGAUCUUCCUUCUUCAGUUGUUCCAUUGGUCUCCUAUUCAUGAAUGUUGUAGUAUUUUUCGGCUUUUGUUUACAAAAACUCUUCACAUGACCUACAACACCACAAAGAUGACACGUUUUGUUAGCAAAAGAGUUCUUGGGGGGGAACAAACUUACCAUAGACCUUCGGAAUCGGUUUUGCGGAGUGUUCGUCUACUUUCUUCAUCACUUGAUCGACAUAUGUCCGUUCGUAUCCAAGCCCGAAUUUGUUGGUUUGACCAAGUCCUAACAUCUUAUGAAGUUUGCUUGACCAGGACGAAAACUUGUUCAAAUCCGAUUUGAGUUGAAUGAUAGUCUUGGUAAAUUCCAUGUUGGAUUCUCUUGCUUCCGUGUAUUGCUUGGUAAGAAAAUUAAUGUUUUCAAUCAAAGUUUCCUUUUCCUUCUCAAGUAGUGCACACUUGUCUAGUAGAGUAUUAUAUGACUCGGUCAAAGUGUCCUUUUCUUGCUCUAAACUUUUUGUCAAUGACUCUAAUCUUGUAUUAUCUUGGUCUAGAUCAUACAAUCUUCGUCUCAACUUCUUGUUGUGUUUCGCCACUUUCUUUGAUUCAAUAACAAGUUGAUGAUAUGCGGCAGCCAUAUCCUCUUCUUCCGAUUCUUCAUCCGUUGAGCUUUCCGUAGAAGAUUUUACAUGCAAAGAAGACAUAGAAAUUGAGUCAGUCGAUGCUAAACACAUAAAAGUAGAAUCCUGUGCAAUAAGUGCAGUGGCAUUAACGUCAUCAUCACUUGAGGACGAUUCGUCUGAGAAGGACUCAUCCCAAGUAAUGGCUUGCAUCGCUUUCUUUUUCAAAGACUUUUUGUUAGGACAAUCUGAUGCAAUAUGACCAAAUCCCCUACACUUAUAGCAUUGAAUUUGACCUUCGCUACUUUUCUUUUCUUUUGUAAAAUCUUUUUGAAAGUUUUCUGAUUUUUUAAACUUUGAAGAAGAAGAGGAAGAGGAACUUCCUUUUGAUUUAUUUGGCUUAGAGGAAGUUGGCUUCGAAGAAAACUUCUUUCUAAAGUUUCGACGAAACUUCUUAGUAAACAGUGCCAUUUGCUUAUCAAACUCUUCCAAGGUUACGUCUGAGUCCGAGUCUGAUGAAGAAGAUUCCACAUCGCCUCCUUUUGUUGAUUUUAGCGCCAUACCUGAAGCUUUAGAGGACAACUUGGAAGAAGAGGAAUUAGCAGGAAAAGUCAUUUCAUACGUUUGUAGUGCACCAACUAAUUCAUCUACUUUGAGUUCAUCCGGAUGUUAUACCGUUUCUAUGGCCGCAACCUUAGGACGAAAACGUUCGGGAAGGGUUCUCAAAAUCUUUCGAACAAUUUUAAGUUCAGAAAUCUUUUCGCCCAAAUUUGCACAAGUAUUGACAAUAUCUUGAAGACGAGUGUAAUACUCGGUAAAGCUUUUAUUUUCUUCCAUACGAAUAGAAUCAUAACGACUAGUCAACAUUUGUAAUUUCUGAACCUUUACCAAGCUUGUACCCUCAUGAGUGAUUUGUAAAGUGUCCCAAAUUUCUUUGGCGGUUUCACAUGCCGAUACUCGUGAAAAUUCAGUUUGAUUCAACGCAUUGAACAAAGCAUUGAUACCCUUCCCAAUGAACGAAGAUAGUUCGUUUUCCUCUUUUGUCCACUUAUUUCUAGGUUUAGGGCCGAUAACAUUCUCGACAACUUCAGUAGGAUGUUUCCACCCGAAUUCAAUGGCUUGCCAUACCCGCUCGUCAAUGGCAAUAAGAAACGCCCUCAUACGGACUUUUCAAUAAGCGUAGUUAGUGCCAUCGAAGAGAGGGGGUCGAUUAAUGUUACCGCCCUCGGCCAUAAUUUACAACCUAUACCCGCUCUGGUACCACUUGUAAGAUAUGGAUCCCGAGAAUCUAAAAGGUGAAAACACCUAGGGGGGGUGAAUAGGUGUAAACGGUAAAAAUCACUAAACUCGAUGCGAAUAUAAAGUAAAUACGGAAAAUAAAAUCAGCACACCGAGAAUUAACGCGAGAAAACACCAAAACGGAGAGAAAAACCCACGGGACCGAUCACACAAAGAAAUCCACUAAGAAAACAUGAGUACAAGUGAUUUACCAAAAAUACAAGACUCAAAAUACCGAAUCCUCGUUGUAGAUUAUCUGUAAGGAAGUGAAUUCUUGAAAUGUGAGGAUUGUACUUCAUCCAGGAUCGACUAAUUGUCAAGAGUAUACCCUUUGUGGGAGUUGGGAAUGUCCAAAGCCCAAUAAGUGCCUUGGAGUUGAGUCCGCGAGAGCAAAUGAGGCAAAUUGCAUCAUUGGGCUGAUGUUGCUCUCGGGGACCGGUCCCUGCAGGUGAGAGACCGGUUCCCCUGGUUGGGUGUAGCGGGGUUGCGUGAUGCAACCGGUCCCUGGCAGGGAGGGACCGGUUCCCGAACGUGGUCCCAGCGAGAAAUGCCAAAAAAAAAAACUGGCUAAGUCCUGAAAAUCGAGCUCUCGGGGACCGGUCUCCUAGGUGAGGACCGGUCUCCCGAGGACCGGUCUCCCGGGGAGAGACCGGUUCCCGAACGCGUGCGCCCGAGGGAAGCUCUCGGGAACCGGUCCCAAGUCGGGGAGACCGGUCCCUCCGCGCGAAAACUGCCCAGUGAGGGCAGUGCGCAGGAGUGAAAGUUGAGGGGCUUUUAUGCAAAAUGGCUUUUAUUUGAGUGGGCUGAGCCCUCUCUCUCCCUCACACUCUCUCAUUUCACUCUCUCUCACUCUCUUGCUCUCUUGCUCUCUCUCUCUCUCUCGAGAUAACAAAGAAGGAGAAGAAGAAAGAGAAGAAGAAGAAGGAGGAGAAGAAGAAGAAGAAGGAGGAGAAGAAGAAGGAGGCUAGGAGCAUCUUCCUCUCCCCCUCCUCUUCCCAUUGGUGUAGCUCAAGAGGUAAGCUACAACCCUAGCUUUUAGAACUUAGGAUUUUUGGGUUUUAUGCCUUGGAAUGGGUCAAAUAGACCCUAAGCAAGCUUCUAAAUAGAUCAAUCCCAAGAAUCUAGGGAUUUAUUAGGUGGUUUGCUAUAGGUGCAAAUCUAGGGCUCCAAAAUGGGGUUUUUGUAAAAGUAUGAGAUUGAUCUCAUUUGAAGCCUUGGAAACCCUAUUGAUAGGUCCCAAAACGCGGGGGCGAAGUCGAUUUUGGCAUUCGGCGAACCGACGUGAAGCUUCUCGGCAAAAUCGGGCCGGGCUAGUGUUGAUUCGGGCGAGGAAGGCUAAAACCUUUUCGUAAAGCUCGCCGAGAGAGAUUUCCGAAACCUCUACAUCGAUUAAAGGUGGGGGGUGUCAUCCGAAACUUUCGAACUCCUUUCUAUGUCUUAGAUUGCAUUUAAUCUCAUCUCUUCAUGUUGCAUUGUAGGAUUUCAUAGUAGCUCCAUUCCUUAUGCUUUCUAAUUGAUGACCUAGUGUACUUGGAACGCUUGGUAACUAGAUAGGUGAGGAUUGGGUCAGGAAGGUGGAUCCUAUGAUGCUAAAGAUAGAGAUGAACACCGAUGGGGGUGUUGAUGACAUAGAAAGUAGUGUUAUUGUUAAAGAACAAAUGAGUGGCAUCCAAACAUUGAAUGAUAACAAGUGGCAUUAAUGUAGUGUAAAUAACACUAGAGUUCGAGGGACCUAGGGAUAGGUGGAUCCCUUAGAAAAUGCCUUGUGAACAAUCAAUUUAGAAAACUAAAUAGCAUUGCAUGAAUGUCGGGAACCAAUGAUUCCGCGAUAGUCGUUGACCCUAGUGUAGGGCGUCCUCACUUGGAGAGGAUUCGAUUGGGUAUUGACUCUAGUUGUAGAGUAUCCUCACUUGGAGAGGAUAGAUCUAGCUCACAGUCUGCGUUUAGGAUGCUAUAGCCAUCCAAUCCCCAUAUGGAGGGGAUUGUUAUCGAAUACUCCGGAGUGUCGUGCGACUAGGACCACUUGGAGGUCCGGACCACAUGGAGGUCCGUAGACGGUCCCGGGCUUGGGUGCACUUGGAGCUCCCUCCCCACUUUGGGAUUUGAAGGUGAGUUAUAGGCGAGCCCUAGGGCCUCACCACAGAUUGGGUAAAUGAAAAAGGUUAAAGGUUUGUGAAAUGUCAUUGAACAUUGCUAUUCGAACAUGGAUCGAAAUUGUUAGCAUGGUAGCAAACCUUUAUUAUAUGAUGCAUGCAUUCAUAUUCAUGAUUAUGGGCAUAGUUGCAUAGUUUUCCUACUACCGCAUUUACAGCUUCCAGAUACAUAUCUAUCUAUCUGUUGUUACUUGUGCCCACUUGGACCUAGUGGGGAGAUCGGCAGAGGUCGGCGGCCGAGCCCACUGGGAACUAUGGAAGAUAGUUCUCACCCCACUCUAUUUCCAGUGGUAGGUUCAGGGCUGCAGAGAGAGGACCGCGGCAAGGGCAUCGCGCCCGAUCAGUGAGGCCGUGGUAGUGUAGUAGCUUUCCCUUUUGCAUUAGUUGUAAUACACUGGGUCUUAGCAAAUUGCAAGAUUCGAGUGUUUGAUCUGUGUGUGGAGCCUUUCCACAGUUUUUGGAGGGUCGUUGAUAGUGUUCCGACCCCUGGCGCGCAUCCCGAGGAUGUUGGAGUGAGACUUGGCACCAAAAUCCAAAAAGUUGGAUUUUUGGUCAGCUCUCGGGUAGCCUUCAGCAGGCCGCGUACCGGUACGGGUUCGCUUGCUCUACCGGUACGGGAUUGAUGGCUGUACCGGUACGUGGUUGUGUACCGGUACACAGAGCAUUUCCCAGCGAACCCGAGGCUCGGGUUUGGCAUUUCGUGGGCAGCGUACCGGUACACAAACCCGUGUACCGGUACGCAGUGCAGAUUUUGACUGUUUCGUUGAGGGGUGUUUUUGCAAUUGUUGCAACGCCUAUAUAAGUCACCCCAGCCCUCUUGGCUGCUCUUUUGAGCCCUAGAACAGAGGAGAUAAGGUGAGAACUCCUCCCCUUUGGUCUCUUCUUCAUUUUUGUUGGGAUUUUUGCUAGUUUUGAUCUCUUUUCUCUUCUCCUUCUUGCUUUUGUGGGUUUUCCACCAUUGGAGAAGUGUGAGAUCUUGGUUGGAGCUUGUUUGAGGAUCAACCUUCAACCCUAGAGGACUUUGGAGCUUGGUUUGGAGCUUCUAAGAGGUUAGUAGCUAUUUCUCUCCUCUAGAUUCGGAUUUUGUUGGAUUUUACUAGAUCAAACCCUAGAUUUGGCAUUUUAGGGUUAGAUUUGGGGAUUCUCGUUUUGAGGGCUUUUGUAUCAAAUUGAUGGGUUUAGAACCUUUGUUUAGGUUAGAUUGGAAGGACUCUAGCUCCCAUUUGGAGAUUGUGAGAGCUUCCUUCGCAAUCGGUGAGUUUUCGUCUACCCUAGCCCUAUAUGCUUAAUGAUUGAGCUUAGCGUCGUUUGUUUCGACUAGAUGACACUUGUUCUUGUACCUCUAAGGUACUAGGAGACUAGAGGACACCCUCGUUGGAGCGCACGAGGAGUUUCGUUGUCAUCGGUGGGUUUGGCUUCCUUGGAAUCGGGGGAAAUUCCUCCUAAGUGGUUAUAUGCUUUCAUUCUCUUCGAAUUCAUGCAUAUUCAUGCUUAUUAGCAUUUAUGAGAGUUUUGAACGCUUAGAACUCAUUUGUUGUGCAUCAAGAAAAGUUACUCUAUAUAGUAGGGAGAGAGAGAGAGACAAUGUGCUUUGUUAAUAUGCAUGCGACAAAUAUUCUAUGAGAGGAUAGGAAAUCAAGUUUCAUGCUUCGGUUUUGACUAGAAUUGUAAGUUCUUGAACUUAGUAUCCAUGUUGGGACAAAAUGAGCCAUAGUGUCAUACAGAGGCACUUGGACUAGAGAAUUAUUAAACUGCAACAUAGAGACUUGAGAAUAGGCCACAUUGACAUCAACUAUAUUCCAUAUUUGAGAUAUGAUGAAAUAGUGACUUGGCCACGAGGACAUUUACUAUAUAUACCAUGUUAUUAGGCAUGAGGACUUGGUACUUGCGACUGAUCGUUUGACUACUUGCCAUUGUGCUCAUUCGCACAUGCUUGUGAGGGUCGCUCCCUACAAGCCGGCACUCCGGAGAUAGCCAUCGCGAUUCAUAUUCGCCGUGCGGGAUUGGGCGCCGAAGUGGAUUGCCAUGGGCCAGGCUCAUCCCUAGGCUGGGGGUGAUGACUACCACGGGGCCAUUAGGCUCGGCACCGGCCAGACAGCCUACGGGUGGGUCUCAGGGCCUUAGACAGCCUUCGGGUGGGUCUCUUCAGAUUUGACUUCGAGUAUUCAUGAUGACUUAGAGUAUUACUUGGACAUUGACUAGAAUAGUAAACAUCGGCAUUUUACUAUUUCGCAUUGUGAACAUUAUGAUAGUUGGAGACUAUUACUUCAUGCAUAGUUGCUUUCGUACUCAUGCUAUUUAUGCUAAGUGGAGACUUUAUGCUAUAGUAAGUUAUAUUUUACUUACCGUCUAAUUAUUACAUUGUUAGUCACUGACCUCUUCUUGUAGCUUUUGGGCCUUGUGGCGCAGUUCACUGAAGUCAGUAAUUGCCCACUGGGAACUAUUUUUAAUAGUUCUCACGCCCCUGUUUCUAUGUUUCCUUUUCAGAGCCUUCGGCACCGGCGGAGGCACGGGAUCGCGGCAAGGGUGUCGCGUAGCUAGCCGGGAGAGUUUCUUUUGCGCUAGGUGGUCGCUUUUUCUCCAUUUUAUAUUUUGAGAGAGCGUGAGGCUUUUGGUUUCCAUGUAUAGAAAGACCACCUGUGUACCUACUUUUAGCACUCGUUAUGGGAUCCCUAUUGUACUUACUUUAUGUUUUAUUUAGUGGAUUUACAGUUUUAACUUUAUCCCUUGUUGUAGCAAUUAGACAUUUACUAUGCUCUGAUACUUCUAGAUGUCUUGUAUUAUUGCUUUUAUUAUUGUUGUUUUUAGACGCCUUAUAUGUUGUAGACAUAUGGCGGGUCUGGGCACGCGCCGGGCGGGCUUCCGCUGGGUCCCGGGGCGUGACAGAUUAAUUUGGUAUCAGAGCCUAGGGUUGAGUCUUAGGGGACCUAGUAAACCUUAGGCCGGUUUGGACUAUAGGAAAUAGGCUCGUGAGAGACGAGGUCUAUUCGACUUGUAAGCGAAAGUAUCUAGAUUGGGUAUCUUGAAUAACUCUAGAAAGUGGAGUUAAAUUGAAGUGUAUAACUCCUAACUUCGCGGAGGGUUACGUUGGCGGCCGACAACGUAACAUCGGGAGUUAGUAGUGAAGAACACUUCUUACUUUCGCAUGAUUUGGGGUUUGUCUUUUGAGUGGGGAUGCGAUAGCGUGAGUAUUUCUAACUUGCGCUUUUAUGUUUUGUAGUGACGAUGCCGAUUACUCGCUCCCAAUCUGCCGGGGCGGACAAUGCGGCAAAUUUCGAGGAGGUUGAGACCUCCGCUACCUCCGGAUCCAGCGAGGUCCGUGAGUUGAGGGGCCAGCUUGCAGCCCUCACCGACCUAGUCACUCAGCAGGCGGAGGCGGCUCGACAGCAGACUGAGGCGGCGCGCCGACAGGAGGCGCGGAUGAAGCGCCUGGAGGAUCUACUUCUGCAGCAGGCAGCAGCUUCUAGGGAGACGCAGGGCCCUACACCGCCAGCACCAGUUGUGGAUGUUGCACCGAGAGCGCCGUCCCCCGCGCCCAGUUCUUCGCGUGCGGCGCCUGCGGCCGUACCCCAAGAGGAGGUUUUGGUAGCACCGCCUGUGCAGAGGCCCCCGGUUGGAGCAGCUUUCCCUACCUUGGUUGAGGGGGCGGAGCGAGAUAGACUGAUGGAGCGCCUCAAUGAGUUCAGGAGGUGCAGUCCCCGAGUCUUCGAUGGCGAGAAGGUCGACCACUGGAUCGUGGAGAAGUGGUUGAUGCAUAUGGAGAAGCUCUUUCGCGACACUUUCGUGGAGGAGAGGGACAGAGUUUGGCUCGCCACUCACCACUUGGACGGCGAGGCCUACCGCUGGUGGUUGGACUUUCAGGAGCACCCCAGCACUGACUUGGCAUCUAUCACUUGGACGAGGUUCAAGGAGCUUCUUCUGGCGCACUACUUCCCGACCAGCGUCAAGAGGAAGAUGGAGCAGGAUCUGCGCAGCUUGCGCCAGGGUGACCGGACUGUAGCCGAGUACGAGAGGGAGUUUUCUCGGCUUCUGCAUUGCGUGCCCUUCGUCGUGCGGGACGACGAGGACAAGGCCCGCAUCUUCGAGCGAGGGUUGAGACCGUCUAUCUUUCGGUUCGUGCAAUCCUCUAACCUCCAAACCUACCGGGAGGUGGUGGAUCGCGCGCUCAUUGUGGAGAGCGGCGCGGCAGAGGUCCAGGAGCAGCGAGAUGCUAGGGACAAGGGUAAGGCCAAGAGGCCUGCGGCUGAGGGUGCGAGCCAGACGCACUCUAGGAGGCCGCCGAAGCAUCCGAGGAGCCAGCACCGUGGACGCGGCUCAGCAGCACAGCGAGGAGGAUCCGAUCGGCGCCGGCCUUCCCCGUGUGUGAUCUGCGGUGGUCCCCAUUAUCCACCGCAGUGUCCACAGCGGGCGGGCAGGUGCUUCCAGUGUGGCCAGGAGGGCCACGUGCGUACCGAGUGCCCGAGGGGUUCGUCACCGGCACCGUCGACUGCAUCGGCACCGGCUCUACCAGCCGUCAGCCACGGGACUCCGUCGACACAGUACCAGCCUGGGCGGCCACCCGUCCAGCGCCAGAGCGAGGGAUCUCGACAGGCCCCGAGUGGGCGCAUGUACGCCGCUCAGACCGAGGAGGCGGCAGCAGCCGAGGAUGUGGUUGCAGGUAUCAUUUUACUUGAUGGCAUUAGAGUUCGUGCUUUAUUUGAUACCGGUGCAUCGCAUUCAUUUAUAGAUCGGCUGUUUGCCGAGUUGCAUGGCAUCCCUUUGGUUCCUUUGUUGCAUACGGGACAUGUAGUUGUACCCGACCACAUUUUGGAUAUUAGAGAGUUUAGCCCCAGUUGCCCCGUUCGGGUAGGAGAUUGGAUCAUGCCUAUAGAUUUGCUAGCUUUGCGCAAGCUGGGGGAUUUUGAUGUGGUCUUGGGCAUGGAUUGGUUGACUAAGUAUUAUGCCACGAUUGAUUGUAAGAAUCGCACGGUUACUUUUAGAGAACCGGGGCAGACUGAGGUGGUAUUUAGUGGAUGCCGGAGUUCACUGUUUGCGAUGACGAUCAGCUCGUCUCGAGCUAGGCAGCUAAUCAGCAGAGGUUGUGUAGCCUAUUUGGCUAGUGUCGUGCUGAGGGGCGAUGAUGACACCCCUAGGAUUGAGGAUAUCCCGGUGGUGCGGGAGUUUCAGGAUGUGUUUCCAGCUGAGCUACCGGGUAUGCCUCCUGAUAGGGAGAUUGAGUUUGUGGUAGAUCUCGUCCCUGGGACUACCCCAAUCUCAAAGGCACCCUAUAGGAUGGCACCGGCAGAGCUGAGGGAGCUGAGGGCACAGUUGCAGGAUUUGUUGGACAAAGGCUUCAUUCGACCGAGUGUGUCACCUUGGGGAGCCCCAGUUUUGUUCGUCAAGAAGAAGGACGGAUCACUUCGCCUUUGUGUGGAUUAUCGUGAACUUAAUAAGGUCACGAUCAAGAACAAGUAUCCGUUGCCAAGGAUCGACGACUUGUUUGAUCAGCUUCAGGGAUCAUGUGUGUAUUCCAAGAUCGACUUGGAGUCGGGAUACCACCAGUUGAAGAUUAAGCCCGAGGAUGUAUCGAAGACGGCUUUUAGAACACGGUAUGGACAUUAUGAGUUCACAGUUAUGCCGUUUGGGCUUACUAAUGCCCCGGCAGCUUUUAUGGAUCUGAUGAACCGUGUUUUCAAGCCUUAUCUAGACAGGUUCGUCGUGGUGUUCAUCGACGACAUUUUGGUCUAUUCUCGGAGUGAUGCAGAUCACGAGGAACAUUUGAGGGUUGUACUCCAAGUACUUCGGGAAAAGGAGCUUUAUGCCAAGUUGAAGAAAUGUGAAUUUUGGCUUCGAGAGGUGGCCUUCCUUGGACACUUGAUUUCAGGAUCAGGUAUAGCAGUGGAUCCCAAGAAGAUAGAAGCAAUCAAGGAUUGGCCGAGGCCGACGAGCGUCACGGAGAUACGGAGCUUCCUUGGAUUGGCCGGUUACUACCGGAGAUUUGU